GACGAACGCUGGUGGCGUGCCUAAUACAUGCAAGUCGAACGAACCGCGACUAGGUGCUUGCACUUGGUCAAGGUGAGUGGCGAACGGGUGAGUAACACGUGGGUAACCUACCUCAUAGUGGGGGAUAACAGUCGGAAACGACUGCUAAUACCGCAUAGGACAUAGGAUCACAUGAUUCUGUGAGGAAAGGUGGCGCAAGCUAUCGCUAAGAGAUGGACCCGCGGUGCAUUAGCUAGUUGGUAGGGUAAAGGCCUACCAAGGCGAUGAUGCAUAGCCGACCUGAGAGGGUGAUCGGCCACAUUGGGACUGAGACACGGCCCAAACUCCUACGGGAGGCAGCAGUAGGGAAUCCUCCGCAAUGGACGCAAGUCUGACGGAGCAACGCCGCGUGAGUGAAGAAGGUCUUCGGAUCGUAAAGCUCUGUUGUUAGAGAAGAACAGCGCAUAGAGUAACUGUUAUGCGUGUGACGGUAUCUAACCAGAAAGCCACGGCUAACUACGUG
rnacentral:rRNA from 1 species